rnacentral:rRNA from 1 species
UACGUAGGGCGCAAGCGUUAUCCGGAAUUAUUGGGCGUAAAGAGCUCGUAGGCGGCUUGUCGCGUCUGCUGUGAAAACGCGAGGCUCAACCUCGCGCCUGCAGUGGGUACGGGCAGACUAGAGUGCGGUAGGGGAGAUUGGAAUUCCUGGUGUAGCGGUGGAAUGCGCAGAUAUCAGGAGGAACACCGAUGGCGAAGGCAGAUCUCUGGGCCGUAACUGACGCUGAGGAGCGAAAGCGUGGGGAGCGAACAGG